UAGAAAUUACUAAAAUCAUACCAAAAUGUAGAUCUAAACAAGCUAAACAACUUUACUUAAACAAUCAAAUGCAAAAACGAAAUAGAUUAAGAGUAAUUAAAGUUUCAAGAUUCAUAAACACAAAGAAAAACUGAAAGAUAAAGCAUAGAUCCUUUGGACAAACCCCAAAUGAUCUAUUUAUACUAAAAUGUUGGAAACCCAAGAUUCACUAGAAGACAAGAGACUUGAGGCGGUUUGGGCGAAUACUCGACCUUGGGGAUCGAGUAAAGAGGGUGCUGCAAAGUCUGCGCCUUUGUGUCUAUGCUUCGAGUGAUCAAUUGGUCGAGUAGAUGCUUCAUCCUCUCUUAUCCGUAUGCUGAGAUGUCUGGUUGAGUGGGGAAAGAGGAAGAUCCGAAGACGUUUUGAUAGCUCAACAAGUCUUGUAGAGAUGGUCACCCUUGGUCGAGUAAAUGGAUCGAGUAGGAGGGGCGAGUAGUUGAAUCUGCUGCUUCAUCUGAGGUUGUCUUGAUCGAGUAGGAGGGUCGAGUAAACUGCAGCCUCCUUUGAGGUAUCCUGGAUCGAGUAAAGAGGUCGGGUAGGAUGAUGCCUCUUCUGUAGCUGCCUGGAUCGAGUAAAGAGGUUGAGUAGGAUGAUGCCUCUUCUGUAGCUGCCUGAAUCGAGUGAAUGGAUCGAGUAGAGUCCUUUUAAGCUCCUUUUGCACCUGAAAACACAACAAAACAUGCA
rnacentral:sRNA from 1 species